AAGAAAGUAAGAAAGGGCGUAUGGCGGAUGCCUAGGCUCACGGAGGCGAUGAAGGACGUGAUAAGCUGCGAUAAGCUUCGGGUAGGUGCAAAUAACCCUUGAUCCGAAGAUUUCCGAAUGGGACAACCUAGCCGUCUGAAGGACGGUUACUAGCACUUAAGUGUUAGAGCUAACGCAGGGAACUGAAACAUCUUAGUACCUGCAGGAAGAGAAAAUAAAUGAAUGAUUCCCCCAGUAGUGGCGAGCGAACGGGGAACAGCCCAAACCAGUGGCGUCGCAAGGCGUGGCUGGGGUUGUAGGACCGCGACAUUGUAUGCAAAUCGUGAACAGAACACUUUGGAAAAUGUGACCAUAGACGGUGAUAGUCCAGUAUGUGAAGCGAAAUGCAGCAUAGCGGUAUCCUGAGUAACGCGGGACACGAGGAAUCCUGCGCGAAUCUGCCGGGACCAUCCGGUAAGGCUAAAUACUCCCGUGAGACCGAUAGCGAACGAGUACUGUGAAGGAAAGGUGAAAAGAACCCCGAGCAGGGGAGUGAAAUAGUUCCUGAAACCAUACGCCUACAAGCGGUCGGAGCAUCUUACGAUGUGACGGCGUGCCUUUUGCAUAAUGAUCCUACGAGUUACCGUCACUGGCGAGGUUGAGUGUCACGAGACACGUAGCCGCAGUGAAAGCGAGCCUGAAUAGGGCGCACAGUCAGUGGGGGUAGACGCGAAACCAAGUGAUCUACACUUGGCCAGGAUGAAGUCCCGGUAACACGGGAUGGAGGUCCGCACCAAUAAGCGUUGAAAAGCUUCUGGAUGAGCCGAGUGUAGGAGUGAAAGGCCAAUCAAACUUGGAGAUAGCUCGUACUCCCCGAAAGGCAUUUAGGUGCCGCGUCGGAUGGUCACCGUGAGAGGUAGAGCGACCGAUAGGACAAGAGGGCUUCACCGCCUAUCGAGUCCUGACGAACUCCGAAUGCUCACGGUCUGCAGUCCGGCAGUAAGGGGGCGGGUGCUAAGGUCCGUCCCCGAGAGGAGAAGAAUCCAGACCGCCGUCUAAGGUCCCGGAGUUCUGCCUGAGUUAGUCUAACGAAGUCUGGUCCCUAUGACAGCUAGGAUGUUGGCUUGGAAGCAGCCAUUCAUUCAAAGAGUGCGUAACAGCUCACUAGUCGAGGGUCCGGGCAUGGAUAAUAAUCGGGUAUAAGGCAGACACCGAAGGCGCGGGAUAGCAAUUAUAAAAGUAUCGGUAGGGGAGCAUACUCACAGCGUCGAAUGGUGUACGUAAGUUAUCCUGGAGCGGUGAGUAAAGCAAAUGUAGGAAUAAGUAACGAUAAGGAGGGUUAGAUUCCCUCCCGCUGUAAGACCAAGGUUUCCCGGGCAAUGCCAAUCAGCCCGGGGUCAGUCGGGUCCUAAGUCUAAGCCGAACGGCGAUGGCGAUGGCAGAGACGGUUAAUAUUCCGUCACUGCCGCAUGGGGCGACGUGGAGACGGAGCAGUGAAACCACCGCGGGGCGACGGAAGUCCCCGUUGAAGAGUGUAGGCGUUGAGGAUGGCAGGCAAAUCCACCAUCCGAGCUGAACUUGAGAGUACGGAGUCCUCCUCGGAGGAAUCUGAUAGUGUGGGUAAUCAUACUCCCGAGAAAAUCCGCUAAGCUUAACCCAUGCGGCACCCGUACCGCAAACGGACACACGUGGUCGGGUAGAACAUACUAAGGCGUUGAGAGAUUCAUGGUUAAGGAACUAGGCAAAUUGACCCUGUAACUUCGGGAUAAAGGGUCCUCGUGAUGAGCGAGGCGCAGAGAAUAGGUCCAGGCAACUGUUUAACAAAAACACAGGGCUGUGCAAACUCGAAAGAUGACGUAUACAGCCUGACACCUGCCCGGUGCCGGAAGGUUAAGAGGAGAUGUCACUCGCAAGAGGAAGCAUUGAAUUGAAGCCCCGGUAAACGGCGGCCGUAACUAUAACGGUCCUAAGGUAGCGAAAUUCCUUGUCGGGUAAGUUCCGACCUGCACGAAUGGUGUAAUGAUCCGGACGCUGUCUCAACCAUGAGCUCAGUGAAAUUGUAGUAUCGGUGAAGAUGCCGAUUACCCGCGAUGGGACGAAAAGACCCCGUGAACCUUUACUACAGCUUAGCAUUGACCUUGGUCAUCCGAUGUGUAGGAUAGGCCGGAGGCUUCGAAGCGGGAGCGCCAGCUUUCGUGGAGCCAUCCUUGAAAUACGGCCCUUUGGCUGUCUGAGGUCUAACGCGCGAUGCGCGGACACUGCUUGGUGGGUAGUUUGACUGGGGUGGUCGCCUCCAAAAGCGUAACGGAGGCUUCCAAAGGUGCCCUCGGGUCGAUUGGUAACCGACCUCAAAGAGUGCAAUGGCAUAAGGGCGCUUGACUGGGAGGCAGACAUGCCGAGCAGGCAGGAAACUGGGGCAUAGUGAUCCGGCGGAUGUGUAUGGAAACUCCGUCGCUCAAAGGAUAAAAGGUACUCCGGGGAUAACAGGCUGAUCCCCCCCAAGAGCUCAUAUCGACGGGGUGGUUUGGCACCUCGAUGUCGGCUCGUCACAUCCUGGGGCUGGAGAAGGUCCCAAGGGUUGGGCUGUUCGCCCAUUAAAGUGGCACGCGAGCUGGGUUCAGAACGUCGUGAGACAGUUCGGUCUCUAUCUAUCGUGGGCGUGGGAGUUUUGAGUGGUGCCGUCACUAGUACGAGAGGACCGUGAUGGACAGACCUCCGGUUUACCAGUUGUGCCGCCAGGCGCACCGCUGGGUAUCUGAGUCUGGAUUGGAUAAGCGCUGAAAGCAUCUAAGUGCGAAGCCAGCCGCAAGAUGAGAACUCCAUUGAGGGUCGUCAAAGACGAUGACGUUGAUAGGAUGCAGGUGUAAAGACAGCGAUGUCAAAGCCGAGCAUUACUAAUUGCCCGAACACUUUCUUUA
rnacentral:rRNA from 1 species